GUGGGGAAUCUUCCGCAAUGGACGAAAGUCUGACGGAGCGACGCCGCGUGAGUGAAGAAGGCCUUCGGGUCGUAAAGCUCUGUCAUCAGGGACGAACGGCCGGUGGAGUGGAAAGCCACCGGAUUGACGGUACCUGAGAAGGAAGCCACGGCUAACUACGUGCCAGCAGCCGCGGUAAUACGUAGGUGGCAAGCGUUGUCCGGAAUUAUUGGGCGUAAAGCGCGCGCAGGUGGGAUCUUAAGUCCAUUUUUAAAGUUCGGAGCUCAACUCCGUGAUGGGAUGGAAACUGGGAUUCUUGAGUACCGGAGAGGAAAGCGGAAUUCCAAGUGUAGCGGUGAAAUGCGUAGAGAUUUGGAAGAACACCAGUGGCGAAGGCGACUUUCUGGACGAUGUCUGACGCUGAGGCGCGAAAGCUAGGGGAGCGAACGGGAUUAGAAACCCUAGUAGUCC
rnacentral:rRNA from 1 species